UGGGGAAUAUUGCACAAUGGGCGCAAGCCUGAUGCUGCCAUGCCGCGUGUAUGAAGAAGGCCUUCGGGUUGUAAAGUACUUUCAGCGGGGAGGAAGGGAGUAAAGUUAAUACCUUUGCUCAUUGACGUUACCCGCAGAAGAAGCACCGGCUAACUCCGUGCCAGCAGCCGCGGUAAUACGGAGGGUGCAAGCGGUAAUCGGAAUUACUGGGCGUAAAGCGCACGCAGGCGGUUUGUUAAGUCAGAUGUGAAAUCCCCGGGCUCAACCUAGGAACUGCAUCUGAUACUGGCAAGCUUGAGUCUCGGAGAGGGGGGUAGAAUUCCAGGUGUAGCGGUGAAAUGCGUAGAGAUCUGGAGGAAUACCGGUGGCGAAGGCGGCCCCCUGGACGAAGACUGACGCUCAGGUGCGAAAGCGUGGGGAGCAAACAGG
rnacentral:rRNA from 1 species